CUCAGGCUGGAAGCAAGGCUUUCCGCCUUUUUACCUUCGGCAGUUAAUUUGAAUUAUUUCACAAAUUGUAUUCUUCACGAUUGAAAACAUGUUUAUUUUCGUUUUGAAAUUGAUGCGACGAUCAAUAAUUUUUGGCGAUUUGAAAAUAAUCAGCAUAUUAACACAAAACUAUAGUAGACUUCGGUAAUUUCAAAAUUCGCUUGCUAGAAAAGAUUUGCUGAGCAAAGUGCAUCAUCAAACAUUUUUUAAUGAUUGUGAUGUUGUGGUGUUGAUAGGGGAGUUGGAGGAACCAUAACAACUCCAAGGUGUUGACGACUUACGAACGAUCGAGUUCAAGUUCUGUGGACGUUUUUCAUAGCUCUUCUGGGUCAUUUCCGAGAUAUGUUUUGCUGUUUUGAAGCCUACUUGCGAAGUACGCACCCUGGUACUUAAUCUUCUCCAUCACUCACCUUAAGUAUCACUAACACGGAAAGUAGUGAACGGUUUUCAACUGAUACUUGCCAACUGGCUUCGAUGGAUGUUCACACGAGAAGACUUUUUGGAACCGUUGGGCCGAGUUAAAGUACAUCAUUCAACGAAAACGAAAUAGCUCUACGGCAGAAUUGUCGAAUACUACACUUGUCUUGUGGGUCGUACUCGCUGGUCGCUGAAUGGAUUGCUAGGGAAGAAAAUACUGUGGGUCAGACAACAAGAUCGGACUCAACUCCAUAUGACCAUAUGACCUCUCGUACUCCUCCAUGAACUACGAAUAACCUUGAUGGAGAUUUUCAUUGGUGAAGAAAAGUUUCUAUUCGAGUCGACCGCGAGUAAUCGGUUUCCUAUUUCAUUAACCGUAGAAUUAAGAAAACAUGUUAAUAGUAAAAGUAUAGUUGAGAGUUUGGCUUCUUUAAGCCUAUGUA